GGCAUAUAAUUGGUUGCAUUUCUUAUCGUUAUUAACAUUUAAUCUUAUUUCUUAUUCCCCUGCAGGUUAUCUUCAAGCCGUUAUUUAUAAUUUCGUGCUCGGCAACAUUUCCGGCAUUUUUAACCAGAAUACAUUUUUUGUUGGCGACCUUCAUACAAUACCGGAAACCAAUAAAAAAACGGCCAGAAGUUAUUGCCAGUCAACAAAGGAAAGGAAAACAAGGGGAGAAAUAUAAACACAGACGCAAUAAUUUUGGGCCCUUUCAUUCCCGGUUCGCACUUUCGGAAAUUUACUUAAUUUAAAU
rnacentral:sRNA from 1 species